rnacentral:misc_RNA from 1 species
GUUGAAGAACGUAGCGAAAUGCGAUAAGUAAUGUGAAUUGCAGAAUUCAGUGAAUCAUCGAAUCUUUGAACGCACAUUGCGCCCGUCAGUAUUCUGGCGGGCAUGCCUGUUCGAGCGUCAUUACGCCCCUCAAGUCCCCUGUGGACUUGGUGUUGGGGAUCGGCGAGGCUGGUUUUCCAGCACAGCCGUCCCUUAAAUUAAUUGGCGGUCUCGCCGUGGCCCUCCUCUGCGCAGUAGUAAAACACUCGCAACAGGAGCCCGGCGCGGUCCACUGCCGUAAAACCCCCCAACUUUUUAUAGUUGACCUCGAAUCAGGUAGGACUACCCGCUGAACUUAAGCAUAUCAAAAGCGGAGGA